rnacentral:rRNA from 1 species
AGAGUUUGAUUCUGGCUCAGAACGAACGCUGGCGGCGUGGAUAAGACAUGCAAGUCGAACGGUUUUGUUCAGGUAGCAAUAUUUGGGCAAAGCAGUGGCGAAAGGGUGCGUAACACGUAAGCAAUUUUCCGGAAGGAUUGGCAUAACGCGCUGAAAGGUGCGCUAAUUCCAAAUGGUCUUGGGGGUAACUCCAAGUAAAGCUGAGGACCGGUAACGGCUUGGCGCCUUCUGAUAAGCUUGCGGCCUAUCAGCUAGUUGGCGGGGUAACGGCCCACCAAGGCGAUGACGGGUAGCUGGUCUGAGAGGACGACCAGCCACACUGGAACUGAGACACGGUCCAGACACCUACGGGUGGCAGCAGUCGAGAAUUUUUCACAAUGGGGGCAACCCUGAUGGAGCGACGCCGCGUGGGGGAUGAAUGGCUUCGGCCCGUAAACCCCUGUCAUUUGUGAUCAAUGCAACCGGCUGAACAGGUCGGUUGCUGAUAGUAGCAAAAGAGGAAGGGACGGCUAACUCUGUGCCAGCAGCCGCGGUAAUACAGAGGUCCCGAGCGUUGUUCGGAAUUACUGGGCGUAAAGGGCGCGUAGGCGGCCCGGCAAGUUGAAAGUCAAAUAUUGCGGCUCAACCGCGCUUCGCUUUCAAAACUGCCGGGCUAGAGGUUUGCAGAAGAAACUGGAAUUUUCGGUGUAGCAGUGAAAUGCGUAGAUAUCGAAAGGAACAUCAGUGGCGAAAGCGAGUUUCUAGGCAACACCAGACGCUGAGGCGCGAAAGCCAAGGUAGCAAACGGGAUUAGAUACCCCGGUAGUCUUGGCUGUAAACGGUGCGCACUUGCUGCAAGCUGGGUCAUACCGGUUUGUGGCGAAGCUAACGCGUUAAGUGCGCCGCCUGGGGAAUACGGCCGCAAGGCUAAAACUCAAAGAAAUUGACGGGGGCCUGCACAAGCGGUGGAGUAUGUGGCUUAAUUCGAUGCAACGCGAAGAACCUUACCUAGCCUUGACAUCCUUAGCUUUGGUUCUGGAAACAGGAUCAUGGUAGCAAUACCGGAUAAGGACAGGUGCUGCAUGGCUGUCGUCAGCUCGUGUCGUGAGAUGUUGGGUUAAGUC